rnacentral:rRNA from 1 species
AGGAUGAACGCUAGCGGCAGGCCUAAUACAUGCAAGUCGAACGGCAGCACGAGUAGCAAUACUUGGUGGCGAGUGGCGCACGGGUGCGUAACACGUAUGCAAUCUACCCAUAACAUGGGGAUAGCCCGGAGAAAUCCGGAUUAAUACCCAAUGAUAAAUAGGAGUGGCAUCACUUUUAUUUUAAAGAUUUAUCGGUUAUGGAUGAGCAUGCGCAUGAUUAGCUAGUUGGUGAGGUAAUGGCUCACCAAGGCGACGAUCAUUAGGGGGUCUGAGAGGAUGAUCCCCCACACUGGUACUGAGAUACGGACCAGACUCCUACGGGAGGCAGCAGUAGGGAAUAUUGGGCAAUGGAGGCAACUCUGACCCAGCCAUGCCGCGUGCAGGAAGAAGGCCUUCUGGGUUGUAAACUGCUUUUGAAUGGGAACAAAGAAUCCUUGCGAGGAGAGAUGAGUGUACCAUUAGAAUAAGCACCGGCUAACUCCGUGCCAGCAGCCGCGGUAAUACGGAGGGUGCAAGCGUUGUCCGGAUUUAUUGGGUUUAAAGGGUGCGUAGGCGGUUUAUUAAGUCAGUGGUGAAAUCCUGCAGCUUAACUGUAGCAUUGCCAUUGAUACUGAUAAACUUGAGUACAGACGAGGUAGGCGGAAUUGAUAGUGUAGCGGUGAAAUGCAUAGAUACUAUCAAGAACACCGAUUGCGAAGGCAGCUUACUAGGCUGUAACUGACGCUGAGGCACGAAAGCGUGGGGAGCAAACAGGAUUAGA